rnacentral:rRNA from 1 species
CCUACGGGUGGCAGCAGUGGGGAAUAUUGCGCAAUGGGCGAAAGCCUGACGCAGCGACGCCGCGUGAGGGAUGAAGGUCUUCGGAUCGGAAACCUCUGUCAGCAGGGAAGAACGGUCAAUGGGCUAAUCAGCAGUGAAUUGACGGUACCUGCAAAGGAAGCACCGGCUAACUCCGUGCCAGCAGCCGCGGUAAUACGGAGGGGGCGAGCGUUAAUCGGCAUUACUGGGCGGAAAGCGCUCGUAGGCGGUAUGUCACGUCACGGGUGAAAUCCCCGCGCUCAACGUGGAAACUGCCUUUGAAACUGGCAACCUGGAUUGUGUUAGAGGAUAGUGGAAUUCCAGGUGUAGGCGU